GAGUCUGCAACCCGACUCCACGAAGCUGGAUUCGCUAGUAAUCGCGCAUCAGCCACGGCGCGGUGAAUACGUUCCCGGGCCUUGUACACACCGCCCGUCAAGCCAUGGGGAGGCCGGGGGUACCUGAAGUGCGUAACCGCGAGGAUCGCCCUAGGGUAAAACUGGUGACUGGGGCUAAGUCGUAACAAGGUAUC
rnacentral:rRNA from 1 species